rnacentral:rRNA from 1 species
AGAGUUUGAUCCUGGCUCAGAUUGAACGCUGGCGGCAUGCCUUACACAUGCAAGUCGAACGGCAGCACGGGAGCAAUCCUGGUGGCGAGUGGCGAACGGGUGAGUAAUGUAUCGGAACGUACCAUUGAGUGGGGGAUAACGUAGCGAAAGUUACGCUAAUACCGCAUAUACCCUGAGGGGGAAAGCAGGGGAUCGCAAGACCUUGUGCUCUUUGAGCGGCCGAUAUCAGACUAGCUAGUUGGUGAGGUAAAGGCUCACCAAGGCGACGAUCUGUAGCGGGUCUGAGAGGAUGAUCCGCCACACUGGAACUGAGACACGGUCCAGACUCCUACGGGAGGCAGCAGUGGGGAAUUUUGGACAAUGGGGGCAACCCUGAUCCAGCCAUGCCGCGUGAGUGAAGAAGGCCUUCGGGUUGUAAAGCUCUUUCGGCCGGGAGGAAAUCGCAUCAGUUAAUACCUGGUGUGGAUGACAGUACCGGAAUAAGAAGCACCGGCUAACUACGUGCCAGCAGCCGCGGUAAUA